rnacentral:rRNA from 1 species
GAUGAACGCUGGCGGCGUGCCUAAUACAUGCAAGUCGAGCGAACGGACGAGAAGCUUGCUUCUCUGAUGUUAGCGGCGGACGGGUGAGUAACACGUGGAUAACCUACCUAUAAGACUGGGAUAACUUCGGGAAACCGUAGCUAAUACCGGAUAAUAUUUUGAACCGCAUGGUUCAAAAGUGAAAGACGGUCUUGCUGUCACUUAUAGAUGGAUCCGCGCUGCAUUAGCUAGUUGGUAAGGUAACGGCUUACCAAGGCAACGAUGCAUAGCCGACCUGAGAGGGUGAUCGGCCACACUGGAACUGAGACACGGUCCAGACUCCUACGGGAGGCAGCAGUAGGGAAUCUUCCGGGAAGGGCGAAAGCCUGACGGAGCAACGCCGCGUGAGUGAUGAAGGCAUUCGGAUCGUAAAACUCUGUUAUUAGGGAAGAACAUAUGUGUAAGUAACUGUGCACAUCUUGACGGUACCUAAUCAGAAAGCCACGGCUAACUACGUG